UGUUUCUAUUUUGUGAAUAUGUCCUUUUCAUCGUCUUUUAUGAGAGACCAGGGGUUGAAUCGGAGCGAUCGUUGCCAGCCUGCACGCCAAAUCCCUGACCCUCGGAGUGAGGCCAGGGAUCGAACCAGCAUCCUAGUUGGGUUGGUUUCUGCUGAACCGCAACAGGAACUCCCUGAAAUACGGUUUGAUUCAUCUCAUUUUGGCUUUGAAAAAGCCUAAGUCAGAUCUUCACAAACUAUCUGUAAUAUUUUACUAGGUUUGACUCUUAUUCUCAUCUGCCUUUUUUCUGGCAUAAAAUAUGGCAUACUCCAUGUAUUUUGUGGUUUGCUUUUUUUUAAAUUAAAUACUGGAUCUUUGAAAUCACUUUAUACCACUUUGUAGAGAGCUUUCUCAUUCGUUUUAUUUUGGCCGUUCCUGCGACCUGCGGAGGUUCCCGGGCCAGGGACGGCAGCCUUGGCAGAGCGCCGACGACACUGGAUCCCUGAACUGCUGGGCCACCAGGGAACUCCUUGGUUUUUGUUUUUGUUUUUUUCUGAGAGAUUCGUUUUUAUAACUUUUAUAUAAUUUCAUAAGGAAGUCCAGGGGCAGGGAGAAGCAUUCUGGAGCUUGGGGCUCUUUGCAUGUGUAGAGUAAUUUAUUUCUCCCCUUCAUGUCCGUCCUAGUUCUCUGGGUUCCUUUUGUGACCCAUACCAUAAUUUUAAGUGAGCCUGCAAACUCCAGACUUGUGACCAGAUGCCGAUUUUCACUACACCUGCCUUACGGCUUCAAAAGCGAAGAUGACCUUGAGGUGGUGACAUUGCCUGUCUCCUGACUACGCCAGAAACAGAGGAGGAGGAGCCCCAAGCUUCUCGUUAGCUGCCUUCGUCAUGUCAAACACAGUUGAAAACCACCACCACAACCCAUCACGUGGACUCCUCCUCCGCCACGUUUGUCUCUGAGAAGAGCCCCGCGGUCCACCCAAGGCAGAGCCAUGCCUUCAACGGGCCCUUGACUUUCCACUGCCCAGGAAGGAAUGAAGUGUCUGCUUCACACUGGAUACUGCCGUCUACCCCGUUGGGAUGCUAGUGGGGCCUCUGCUGCCCUCAAGCCAGCAGAUCAGGCAGAUUGGAUGCUGAUUUCCUGAGAGUCUGACUGCUGUACCAAUUACUCUCCGGAAGAGGCCCAGGUGAAGGGCCAGCCAACCCUAGCUGGUUUCUCCAGAGUUGUCACAGGAUGGCAAAUGGCUUACAGAACCUGAAUCUUGGCUGUCUUUGUCAAAAAUUGCCAAGAUGCCUCCAGCAUCAGAAUGUAGCUCCAGAGCCAUGGUCCCACCUGCCAUGUUGGAAGGCCACCCCCCAAAUGACCGACUAUGUACUUCUAUCAACAUCGUUCUGUUUGGCCCAGUGGCUGCUCUUGAGCACAAUUUCUUUAUCAUGUUGAAGCUACUUUGUGACCCUGACGGUGCUGGGCCACUUAGGGGUUCUGCUGAAUUUGUCUGUGCUGCCCCCUUAGGGAAGGGGGGAUGUGUGCAGCUGUGAUUUCCAGCUGUGGUUAUGGUCCUGGGAGGCUGGGAGGGCUGAGCUGACGAUCUGGCGAUGCUCCUUCUUGACUGGCCUGAGUAGCCCUCGUCCCCAGGGCAGCACUAUCUUUUCCUCUGAGUAUAAGCUUUUACGUGUCCUGAUCCUAUCAAUUCUGUGUGGCUGAUGGUGGGAAAGAAACUUGUCUUAGGUUUAUGCAUCCGGCUGCUCCAGCUGGAAUAUCUGGAACAAGGUUAUGCCCCUUCCAGGGGGCCCUGGACCCGUGUGAGUCCUUCAGGACCUGUGGCAGCUGCCCCACAACUGGCAGUAAGGAUGGCUCAAAUCCAAGGUAGGCUGCUGCAAUUCUACUGUCACUCUGUUCUACGUUUCUGGCAUUUCUCAAGAUUUUGGCCCACCAAAAUCCUCUAUGAUUCAACUAUGAAAAAAUGUGGUGGAGGUGUUGCUUGUGGCUGCACCCAUGUCAUAUGGAAGUUUCCCGGCCAGGGAUUGAAUCUGAGCACAGCUGGGACCUAUACCACAGCUCACAGCUCACAGCAAUGCUGGAUCCUUAACCCACUGAGCAAGGCCAGGGAUUGAACCCAUACCCUCACAGACACUAGAUGAGUUCUUAACCCACUGAGCCACCAUGGGAACUCUUGGUUGAAUAUUUAAAGGGUGGUUUUCAAUUUUGGAAUAUUUGUUACAUUGGUUGAUUUUCCAAUGGUGUCCUUCUCCAGGUAACGGAUCCCAUGAUGGUUUCCUAUGAGGAGAUGAUAGGAAACAGCACAGGCCCCGUGGCACUUGAAUUCACUGAGCGCAAAUUUGUUUUUGCUUCAUUCGUUGGCAUCAAGGGCUUGACAGGAGCCAGGGGUAGGUUUGUUCUCGAUUAAGAGAUGGAAAGUCAACCCGGGUCAGUGUUCGGUAUAAUAGAAAAACCACAAAUGGAGUUUAGAUGGAAACUUUGAACCAGGAAUAGUUGUAAGUGAAAAUAUCAGUAUGUCCGGAAACUACAUAAAGAAAAUGACUAUUUAAAUACUGAGAGUUGCGAUGAAAACCAAAAACUAGGUUAUAUUUGCAAAAGUCCUAACUUGUAUGAGUGUAACAGCCUUCAAAAUCAGAGUGAAAAGGCAGGCAUAGGGAGAUAGAAGACAGUGAUUAUUAAAAAUGCUCCUGCAAAAAGACAACAAUUUUCUUUUCUGUCUUUUGAGGGCCGCACCUGCGGCACAUGGAGGUUCCCAGGCUAGGGGUCCAAUCAAAGCUGCAGCUGCUGACCUACACCACAGCCACAGCGGCAUGGGAUCUGAGCCACGUCUGCGGCCUACACCACAGCUCAAGGCAACGCCAGAUCCUUAACCCACUGAGCGAGGCCAGGGAUUGAACCCGUGUCCUCAUGGAUGCUGGUCAGGUUUGUUAACCACUGAGCCACGAUGGGAACUCCCAAACCAACAAUGUUGACUAUGCAUUCUCAUUACUGACCUUCUCUGAAGCCAGAUUUAGGUGUACACAUAGAAAAAUUAAAAGUGUGGCUCAGUGGAAAUGAAUCUGACCAGUAACCAUGAGGAUAUGGGUUCGAUCCCUGGCCUUGCUGAGUAGGUUAAGGGUCUGGCAUUGCUCUGAGCGAUGGUGUAGGUCACGGACGCAGCUUGGCUCCCUCAUUGCUGUGGCUGUGGUGCAGGCCGGUGGCUGCAGCUCCAAUUGGACCCCUAGCCUUCCAUAUGCCACACCUGGGGUCCUAAAAAAAAAAAAGUUGUGAGGAGUGAGCUGUGGGCCUCCUGGUCUCAUGCGGAUUGUGACACUGUUACGCGGAUUCCCUGCGGUCUCUCUUCUCUUUUGCUUGGGAACUUUUCCUGCUUUUUAAUAGAUAGACCGUUGACCUCACAUCAGCGCCGAAGUGCAAGGAAACGACAACAGUUCUCCAAAGGCAGAAUUCGCUGAAGAACUCUUUCCUGUGGAAUGCGCAUGUAUGCACCACUGUUUACAGGAAAAAAGUGUCCAAAAUGCUACAUUUGCAGCGUUAAGAUUAAUAAUUUUACUCUAUGGUGAUGCUGGUGAACCACCCUCCAGGCUCUGUUGGGUGGACUGGUUUUAUUAACCAUACAAGAGAGUUUGAUGGAAUUCCCUUUCACGGAGCCACCAAAGCAGGUUCCGUAAGAAAACCGCCUUCCCAACCGAACACGGUUUAUAUACUUUUCAACCCAUUGUUUAGAUCAUGGGUGUCCAGCCUCUUUGUUUGCUGAAAUCUUAACAGAAGAAAACCUCAAACUGAAUUUGGUUUUAUUCCAUUUUUCUUUAGGGCUUUGAUCUUUCCUCCUUGGAACGUAUCAAUAGUUUCAUUCUCUCUCAUUUUCUUUAGACUUUAGAAACUAAGUGGUGACAUCAGGAACGUGUCAUCUGGACAGACUCUGGAGGUUUCCUUUGAAGCAGCACAUGCUCCCCGGGGCUACAGGAAAAGGCAAGUUACGCCAGGAUGUCUGUCGAUGACUAAUUCAAAGGAAAGCGAAGGCACAUUUGAUGCAUAUUCCUGUUAUAAAACAACAAUUGAAAUAAAUGCAUAGAUUUAUUCGCCUUUGAUACCUUCUUAGGAGGAGACAUCAAGAUGUCCUGCUGCCACUGUAAUGAUCUAGUAAACUACAUACAAUCCGGAUUACACUGUGCGCUCAAAUCAUUCCCAAAGAUGAUAUUUUAAGUAGAAAUAGAUUUUUUUGUAAAUCUGAAACGUGAUCUGAGAAAUUAGAACAGGUGAUAGAGAUAGGAGUAUUAUGGGCAUCUAAUAAGACGGACCCUUUGAAAAAGUCACCUUUAAAGUUGUAACAAAGCAUCCAGGAUUUUAGAGAAACUUAAUGGAAGCCGCAAUAAUGGAACACUGCAGGGGUCUGUGGUACUUAGCUAAAGCGAAAACUACAAAGGUAAGCUUCCAGGCUGUAACCCAGCAUGUUACAACCCCUUGCUAUGUGGGUAACUUUGUAACUCACGCGGGUAGAACAUGGCAGAAUUUGUUUGAUAAAGUCACAUGGCUUAUGAAUAAGAUGUAAAGGAAAUAGAAUGAGGUGAAGAAUAUAGUUUUAGUUUUUUGAAAGCAGUGCUACUGUGUGGGGAAACCAUGAACACUUGAGAUAAUACACCCCUGCACAAUAAAUAGAAAUGCAAUUGCUUUCAUCUCCAUUACCCAGAUUUUUAUGUGCAGCUAAAAACCAUUUGAAAAAUAGAAUGCAAUUACACUAAACUUUUACUUGGAACGCUGGUGGGGUUUUUUGUUUUGUUUUGUUUUUUCAGCUUUGAAUGUUUUGGGUUGUUGUU
rnacentral:lncRNA from 1 species